UGUGAACUGCAGGACACAUGAACAUCGAUAAGUUGAACGCAUAUUGCGCGUCGGGCGACACAGCUCGACGCACAUAUCAUUGAGAGUCCAUAUUUGGAAGUCCGUGACAUUACGAUACGUCCGUGCCGCUCCCGGUCCCGUACCGGGGGAUGGACCCACGCGGUCAAUCGUUUCCUGGGGUAGCGGCUCAAGAGCCGGUGCCCUUAAGACAGUGGAGCGCGUUCCCUCGUCCGUAGCGACCGUCACAAGCGCCCGGCGUUGGACCAACACCUCACCUCCUCACAAGAGCGUUGAUGCGUGUGCGGACCCCAACCGUUUGGAUGCGACGGUACAAGGGCGGGAGCGAGCGUUAGCUCUACCCGCAUGCCGGAGCAAUUCUGGCAGGAGGUACACCCAGACCCAGGUCCGGGGGUGUACGGAGCACUCCUUCAGUGGAGCAAGUGGACCUCAAUUGAUGUGUGACUACCCCCUAAAUUUAAGCAU
rnacentral:rRNA from 1 species